rnacentral:rRNA from 1 species
UACGGGGGGAGCAAGCGUUGUUCGGAUUUACUGGGCGUAAAGGCGCGUAGGCGGCCAGCACAAGUCAGUUGUGAAAUCUCCGGGCUUAACUCGGAAAGGUCAACUGAUACUGUGCGGCUAGAGUGCAGAAGGGGCAACUGGAAUUCUCGGUGUAGCGGUGAAAUGCGUAGAUAUCGAGAGGAACACCUGCGGCGAAGGCGGGUUGCUGGGCUGACACUGACGCUGAUGCGCGAAAGCGUGGGGAGCAAACAGG